UUCUUCAUAGCUCAGUUGGUUACAGCAUUGCGCCGGCAUCGCGGAGGUCAUGGGUUCGAAUCCCAUUGAAGAGG